CAUGGCCUAGGAGGUGCUGUGGCCAUGCCAAGAAGUGGCCAGUUCAGGGGCCAGAACUUAAACAUGCUUCAUCUAGCCCGGAGUUUUCUGAACCCACAUACAUGGGCUUAAAACCCCAUCAGUCCGACAUCUAUGAGGCCAUUAAGAAUGAUGCAAGUAGUGCAAGUGGUACAACACACAAAAUGAUGCCUACACCUGAGGUACCUGGGCAGAAAACACAAGGAAAAACCCAAGAUUUUUAUGAGAACAAUAUCACAGAUGUGUAUGAGAACAUCUAAGGAGAAAGACUGCACUGCAGAACUUUCCUUUCCUUCACAUCUCAAAAGAAGGUUCUAAAUUCCCAGCAUAGUUUAAGCAUGGGACAUGUACAAUGAUUUACUGAGAUUAGUACAGCUGAAUAUUAUCUCUACACAGCCUACCAAAUACAGCUAUGUGACAUGAACUCUUUCUGCUAAACAAUUCUUCCUCCUAAUAAAAUGGGAAUGGGAACAUGAAGAAAGAAGAAACCUGGUGGAACAAAACCGGAAUCUCAUCAGCUUGCCAAUAUGAUUUGUGAGCUCAGUUCCAUGGAAGCUUGUUUAGAGGGCAGUACCUGAAAACAGUAUGCCAUCAGUGAAUCCAAGAAGGGUAUCUAAAAGGUUGCACUUGAUAUUAAAUGUAGCUUUUUAUUUUAAACUGGCUGGGGGAUACUGGGAGUUGUAGGACAUUUUUCUGUCUAAACAUGCAUAGGAUUGCAUCCUUUAUUGCACAUGCUGACUGCAAGCAUUUUGGUGAGGGGAUUAAUUUCUUGGUGUUUUUGUUACUGUACUUUUAAAAUAUAUUUAUUUCACCAAUUAGGGUAGGGAUGGAAAACCUCUGGCCUGUGCACCAAGUUUGGCCCAUCAAAA